UCAGCCCCAGGACCAGCUGGAUGAGGGGACUGAGGCUUCAGUGUGUUAGUAGAACAGGUUAGUGAACUCAGGACCAGCUGGAUGAGGGGACUGAGGCUUCAGUGUGUUAGUAGAACAGGUUAGUGAACUCAGGACCAGCUGGAUGAGGGGACUGAGGCUUCAGUGUGUUAGUAGAACAGGUUAGUGAACUCAGGACCAGCUGGAUGAGGGGACUGAGGCUUCAGUGUGUUAGUAGAACAGGUUUGUGAACUCAGGACCAGCUGGAUGAGGGGACUGAGGCUUCAGUGUGUUAGUAGAACAGGUUUGUGAACUCAGGACCAGCUGGAUGAGGGGACUGAGGCUUCAGUGUGUUAGUAGAACAGGUUAGUGAACUCAGGACCAGCUGGAUGAGGGGACUGAGGCUUCAGUGUGUUAGUAGAACAGGUUAGUGAACUCAGCCCCAGGACCAGCUGGA